rnacentral:rRNA from 1 species
UACGUAGGGAGCAAGCGUUGUCCGGAAUCAUUGGGCGUAAAGCGCGCGUAGGUGGCCUCGUAAGUCCGCUGUGAAAGUCAAAGGCUCAACCUUUGAAAGCCGGUGGAUACUGUGAGGCUAGAGUACGGAAGAGGCGAGUGGAAUUCCUGGUGUAGCGGUGGAAUGCGCAGAUAUCAGGAGGAACACCGGUGGCGAAGGCGGGUCUCUGGGCCGAUACUGACGCUGAGGAGCGAAAGCGUGGGGAGCGAACAGG